rnacentral:rRNA from 1 species
UGGGGAAUAUUGCACAAUGGGGGAAACCCUGAUGCAGCGACGCCGCGUGGAGGAAGAAGGUCUUCGGAUUGUAAACUCCUGUUGUUGGGGAAGAUAAUGACGGUACCCAACAAGGAAGUGACGGCUAACUACGUGCCAGCAGCCGCGGUAAAACGUAGGUCACAAGCGUUGUCCGGAAUUACUGGGUGUAAAGGGAGCGCAGGCGGGAAGACAAGUUGGAAGUGAAAUCUAUGGGCUCAACCCAUAAACUGCUUUCAAAACUGUUUUUCUUGAGUAGUGCAGAGGUAGGCGGAAUUCCCGGUGUAGCGGUGGAAUGCGUAGAUAUCGGGAGGAACACCAGUGGCGAAGGCGGCCUACUGGGCACCAACUGACGCUGAGGCUCGAAAGUGUGGGUAGCAAACAGGAUUAGAUACCCUGGUAGU